rnacentral:tRNA from 1 species
AGAUAAGAUGGCUGAUUAGAAGCGGGGAAUUGUAAAUUCUUUUAUAGAUUUUUUAUCUUCUUAUU